GACGAACGCUGGCGGCGUGCUUAACACAUGCAAGUCGAGCGGUAAGGCCCUUUCGGGGGUACGACGAGCGGCGAACGGGUGAGUAACACGUGGGUGACCUGCCCUCCAGCUCUGGGAGUAAGCCUGGGAAACCGGGUACUAAUACCGGAUAUGACUCCAUGACGCAUGUUGUGGGGUGGAAAGCCUUGUGCGGCUGAGGAUGGGCCCGCGGCCUAUCAGCUUGUUGGUGGGGUGAUGGCCUACCAAGCGACGACGGGUAGCCGGCCUGAGAGGGCGACCGGCCACACUGGGACUGGGACACGGCCCAGACUCCUACGGGAGGCAGCAGUGGGGAAUCUUGCGCAAUGGGCGAAAGCCUGACGCAGCGACGCCGCGUGAGGGAUGACGGCCUC
rnacentral:rRNA from 1 species